CCUACGGGGGGCAGCAGUGAGGAAUAUUGGUCAAUGGGCGAGAGCCUGAACCAGCCAAGUCGCGUGAAGGAUGACGGCCCUACGGGUUGUAAACUUCUUGUGUCAGGGAGCAAUUGGGUCCACGCGUGGGCUUAGCGAGAGUACCUGAAGAAAAAGCAUCGGCUAACUCCGUGCCAGCAGCCGCGGUAAUGCGUAGGGGGCAAGCGUUAUCCGGAUUCACUGGGUGUAAAGGGAGCGUAGACGGCCAGGCAAGCCUGGGGUGAAAGCCCGGGGCCCAACCCCGGGACUGCUCUGGGAACUGUCCGGCUGGAGUGCGGGAGGGGCAGGCGGAAUUCCUGGUGUAGCGGUGAAAUGCGUAGAUAUCAGGAGGAACACCGGCGGCGAAGGCGGCCUGCUGGACCGCGACUGACGUUGAGGCUCGAAAGCGUGGGGAGCGAACAGGAUUAGAUACCCAGUAGUC
rnacentral:rRNA from 1 species